GACGAACGCUGGCGGCGUGCCUAAUACAUGCAAGUCGAGCGAACAGACGAGGAGUUUGCUCCUCGGACGUUAGCGGCGGACGGGUGAGUAACAUGUGGAACAUCCACCUAUAAGACGGGGAUAACUUCGGGAAACCGGAGCUAACACCGGAUAAGAUAUUGAACCGCGGGGGUGAAUGGAAAAAGACGGUGGUGCGGGCAGUAAUAGAGGGAUCCGCGCCGCAUUAGGUGGUUGGGAAGGUAACGGCUUACGAAGGCGACGAUGCGUAGCCGACGGGAGAGGCUGGUCGCCCACACUGGAACGGGGACACGGUCAAGGCUCCUACGGGAGGCAGCAGUAGGCAAUCUGCGGCAGUAGGCGAAAGCAUGACGCAGCACCCCGGCGUGAGUGAUGAAGGUCUUCGGAUCGUAAAACUCUCUUAUUAGGGAAGAACAGCUGUGUAAGUAACUGUGCACGUAUUGACGGUACCUAAUCAGAAAGCCACGGCUAACUACGUG
rnacentral:rRNA from 1 species